UACGGAGGGGGCUAGCGUUGUUCGGAAUUACUGGGCGUAAAGCGCACGUAGGCGGCUUUGUAAGUUAGAGGUGAAAGCCCAGGGCUCAACCCUGGAAUUGCCUUUAAGACUGCAUCGCUUGAACAUCGGAGAGGUAAGUGGAAUUCCCGGUGUAGUGGUGAAAUGCGUAGAUAUCGGGAGGAACACCAGUGGCGAAGGCGACUUCCUGGCCUGUUCUUGACGCUGAGGCGCGAAAAGCUAGGGGGAGCAAACGGGG
rnacentral:rRNA from 1 species